GAGGUUCCGGAUUGAUGAUUUCCACUAUUAAAUAUGAUCCAAACCAUUAAUUUAAACUAUUUGAAAAUUAAAUUUCACGUUUUUUCGUUAUUAUUCUCUUGUCCAUUAAGUGAAUAAAAAAUAAAUGACGGAAAAUAAAUAUCCUUCAAAAAAGUGAUGGUACAAUUUUUCUAUUCAACAUUUAGAAUCUAGAUAUUGUUUUAAAUAGUUUAAAAAAUUUUCUAACAAAACAUCAACUGAUUUGAAUUCGUUUAUAUCAUUAAACGAGCAAAUGUAUCAUACUAACUAUUAAAAAUUAUAGAUUUUGUGACUUUUUGAUCGUUUGGUUAGUGAUGUUGAAAACUUGUGAAAUUUAAUUUCUCAAUAGUUUAAAUGGUCUAAAUCAUAUUCAACGGUGCCGAUCAUUGAUUUGGAAGUUGUAUCAUCGAAAACAAAUUGGUAAUAAACCGAGCCGUUUACUACUGAUAGUAGCCCAAGCUCACUAUAAGUUUUGCUAGAAUCCUAUAAGUAGUAAACGGCUUGAUUUACUACCAAUUUAUUUUCGAUUAUAGAACUUUCAAAUUGACAAUCAGCACCAUUGCCGAUUGUCCCUAGAGCAAGUGGCAAAGGGUUUGGUGAUUGGUACCCGAGACACAAGUUCGAAUUCUAGUUGAUUCACAUUUCAAGCUAAUUCCACUACAACAGACUUAGAUUAUAGGGACACAUGUUUGGGACACUUUUGAGUAAGUGUCCCAUUUAUGCUAAAACUUAAAAAAAUAUCUACUAAUGCCUAAAUAUAAAGCCCAAUCCAACCAAAAAUAAAAGAUUACUCUACUCAACCCACCACACCCAGUCCAUUUGGCCCGAUUACAAACAGAAAAGAAAAAAAAAAAAGAAAAAUCAAUUGCCAUCUUUUCUUCUCUCUUCACUCAAUCCACUGAAAUUCUAAACGAAGAGCCUUUCCUGUCGUCCUCCUCUGCCACCGCAGCCAAAGAGAUAAAGUUUCGGCGGUUGCUAAAUGCUUAAAUAAGUGUUCGUAAAUUAGCAGCACUCUUUUAGGUUAUAGCGACACUCUUUAACUGUCACUAUAUACCUAGCGACCCCACAUAUAGCAACACUUUUUAAAAGUGUCGGUAAUUUUAGCUAGCAGCACUUUUUUAACAUGUACCUACAUUUAAAAGUGUCGCUAUAGACCGUUUUUGUUGUAGUGUAAAUUUAUUUCUAAAUGAAAUAAAUGAAGCGGGUAGCGUGCUACCUAUCUCUCAAAGAAAAAAGAAAAAGAAAAAGAAAAAAAAGACAAUCAACAGCAUUAAAUAUGAUCUAAACUAUUUAAGCUAUCUGAAAAUCACAUUUCACUCAUUUUCAGUUAUUGUUCUCUUGUCCAUUAAGUGAAUAAAAAAUGAAUGGCUGAAAAUAAAUAUUAUUUAAAAAGUAAUGAUAUAAUUUUUCUAUUUAACAUUUAGAAUCUAGAUAUUGUUUUAAAUAGUUUAAAGAAUUUUCUAAUAAAAAAUUACUCGAUUUGGACUUUUCUAUACCAUUAAAUAAGUAAACGCAUCAUACCGGUCAUUAAAAAUUACAGAUUUUAUAACCCUUUGAUCGUUUGGUUAGUAAUGUUGAAAACUCGUGAAAUUUAAUUUCUAAAUAGUUUAAAUGGUUUAGAUCAUAUUCAACAGUGUCAAUCGUCGAUUUGCAAGCUCUAUCAUCAAAAACAAAUCGCAAGUAAACUGAGGCGUUUACUAAGGAUAGUAGCCUAGUCAAGCUCUAGGCCUAGCUUGUAGUCGGCUUGAUAUUUUAAUGAGCCAGUUUGUAUUUGGCUCGGACCCCACUCGCUUGUGUUCUGCUCGUUGACAGCCCUAGUCACGCCAGUAGCCGCAAUGCAGUCUAUCCUUACUCGAACAGGAGGAUCAAACUGUAUGUAGGGAUUUUUCUUGCGCCUCGGGUAUGUAAAGAAUCUACACUUCUCUCUAUAAGCCCUUCUUUCAUUCAGUGACAGUGGUGAUUAAGACACUAGGCCUAGCCAAGUUUACAUUAAAAAGAACCCUAAAAUUUGGUAAAGGGUCCUCUUAUAUUCCAACACACAAGCCAAUUCGAGCCUUGGGCUUGGAGCCGAGUUCUAAAUUCCCUUAAAACGUGGCACGAAUCAUGGCACGUCCUUAGGAAUACAAAUGCACAAGCAAGGUAUAUAGAUAUGUAGGCAUCAAAACUAUAAUAGUCUAAGCCAAGCGCUAAACCUGUAAGAGCGAGCCAGAGAGAAAGAAUAUGAAAUUGACUACGAAGAAACUAGCAAGUUGUAGAAAUCUAAAUAGCUAAGCUUCUUUCAGACUAAGUCCUGCCCCCGCCCCGAGAAUGCGCGGGGCCCACCCACACGACUUGUCAGAGCGGACGAAACGACAGCUAGCCAAUCGGCGGCCAGGGUUCGCGAUUAGACAGCCGGAUCGCUUUACUGAUUGGGUGGGUAUGUGUUGGAUCAUCAUUAAUCUAGGGAUUAAGAUAAGCAGCGCGUGUUUCGAGGGGAUUGGGGUUAGGGUUGAGUCUAGGGUUUGCAUUGGGAUGCCAACAGUUGGUGAAUGGGAAACAAGGGGGAGGGGUGUCUGGGAUAAGGAUGGCACAAUUUGUUUAAUAUUAAUGGUUUUUGUUUUAAUAAUAAUGAGCUUAAUUUGUCAAAUGGGAGGGUGUGGUGUGUGUGUGUGUGUGUGUGGUGGCAAAAGAAGGGCUUAGGCAUGUGAGGGAAUCAAAUAACAAAGCAUGCGCAUCUUUUUUUUAUUUUUUUCCUCUCCUUUCAACUCAAACACAUUGCCCCAUUUUGUGGACUUAUUAAACAAGUACAAGAUAUGGUGCUUUGGAUCCAAACAACCUUAGUUAGCAAGCUUAUUAUGAGAAUCUCUCUCUCUCUCUCUCUCUCUCUCUCUCUAAAGCAUCAAUCAAUGAUCCUUAUCCAGUCUUUACCUUGGUUUAGAGUAAUGGUCCUCUUGCUUCAAGUGUUAAGUAAUAGAAGAAAGCGUGGCGCCACGUGACCACAAGGGAGAGAUCAUCUCCCACUACAACAAAUUUAUGAUUUAGCGGUAUUUAUUCCGCAGCAUUUAUUUAAAUAACGUUAAUUAAUAUAUUUAACAGCAUUACUUAAUAAGUGCUGCUAGAUUUAAUAAUUUAGCAGUAAUUUACUAUUAAUGUUACAAAAUAAGAUAAAUUAGCAGCAUAAAUUAGUGAAUGCCGCUGAAGUUUUCAGCAUUUUAUAAAAAAAAGACACUAAAUAUAAUAAAGUAGCAACACUUAUUGUUAAAUGCCGCGAUAUUUGCCCCGCAACAUUUAUUUAAAUCAUGCUAAUUAAUAUAUUUAACAGCAUUAGUUGAUAAUUGCCGCUAGAUUUAAUUAUUUAGCAGCAAUUUACUAUUAAUGUUGCAAAAUAGGAUAAAUUAGCAACGUAAAUUAGUGAAUGCUGCUAAAUAUAAUAAACUAGCAGCACUUGUUGCUAAAUAUCGUUACUAAUAAAUAUAUAAUUAUUAAUAUAUCCCUUUUUACUUAGAAUUAAAAAUUUUAAAAUUAAAGUUUAAAAUUCGAAACGUAUAAUUUAAAAAAUUAAACUUAUAAUUUAAAAUUUAAAAUUUUAAAAUUUAUAUUUUAAAUUUUAAACUCUAAAAUUUUUAAUACAAUUCAUAUUUUGCUGGGAACUAAAUUGGAAUUCAUUUUUCAUUCUAACUCACAAGAUCUAGUGAAAGUGCAUAUGGAUUUUAUAUGUAGAAUCGAGAUCACUGGGCGGUCCGCAGCUAGCGGUGGACCAGGUCCAAGAAGUAAUUUUUGAAUAGGGAUUGAGCAAAUUAAGUAUCUGGUCAAGUUGGUCAAGGCACAAUUCAGGUUUACUCUAACCAUAUAUAGAUAUUACAGGGACCACAUUAUGGUUCACUGACGUCCUAAAAAUGAAUGAUCGGAUCCUUCAAUUUAAGAUCAGGGUUAUUGAUCUUUAUCUAUAUAGUGAAUAGAAUUCUUUAUAAAAAAUUCAAUCGAUUUCAAUACUUUUACACCGUUAAACUAGCAAAUAUUCAAUACCGGCCGUUAAAAAUUGUUAAUUUCGAAAUCUUUUCAUCGUAAGAUAAAUGAUGCCAAAAAAUUAUAAAAUUUGAUUUCUAAAAGUUUUAAAUGCUCUAGAUAACAUUUAACGGUAUGUAUCGUCGAUUAGGAAGCACUAUCAUCGAAAACGAUUUAUAAGUACGAAAGCGAUCAUACUCAUAAGAGUAUAGUAUCCGAACUCUUGGAAAAAAUAUACUAGCUAUAAAUUGUUAAGGUAGUAGUAGUGUAUUAUUUGAAAGAAAAAUAAUUUCAGCAUGUGAAAUUAUUUAUCUCCCACACUAAUUUAGCAGGCCUAAUUAUAAUAUAUUGGAUUUGCAUCACAUGACAGCAGUGCUUAAUUAAACAUGUGGAUUUUACGUAAUUGCAUUGGAUUCGCAUGAUAUAGAUAUGCACCGCCUCAUGUACAGCAUGUGUUAAUGAGGGUGUUAAGCACAUAAUAAAUCGUGAUUUAUAUAUAAUGUGUAAAAAUGUCUCAACCUAGCAGCAUAAGCUCUUAUUAGGUUUGAACUCGAGCCUUUUAAUAUAUAUGAAUAUAUGAUCAUAAUUUGACACAUCAUCUGAUUGAUAAUCCAAUAUCAUUCUCCAUACCAAACCCCUUUAUAUGUAUACACACAUAUAUAUAUAUAUAUAUAUAUAUACACACACACACAUACUACCCCACAUCCAAGUCAUAGUUCCUAAAUUCGAUCCCUUCGAGGGGUCACACACUUCAUAUAUAGCAAAGACGUUUUCUCACGUAUGCUACCACUAACUCUCAUCUUCAAUAUUACAAAAAAAAACAAACACACUAUAUGAAGGAAUAUAUAAUAAUUCAAUAAUUAAUUAUCUCACGUUCAUGUGUAUGUAAAAAAAAUAUCCGAGAUAGAAACCAUAAGUAAGACGACACGUUGCAAAUUCCUGCAUAUGUUGUGAACUGGCCCGGAUACAACCUUUUUUCUUUUUUUUGGCACCAUUCCACAUGAUUCCCACUACUCUGACACAAACACACACACACACACACAUAUAUAUAUAUAUGACUACAAAUAUAGCAAUGGAUUAAACUUAACUUUUAAACCAUGCAUAUAUAGUUACAAACCUUGUUGUUGGAUAUAUAUAUUUAUAUAUGGUUGGGACCAUCUCCCGACUCCCAUACAGAUAUUAAUAUCAGAAACAUUACGUGUCCCUCUCUUCAACAUCCAUGCUCAUGCCAAUGUUUCAAGGGGUCCUACAUCCUCAAAAAGGGAGGUAAAAAUAGAAAAAGUGUAUUUAUAAAAAUAUUCUAUAGGAUGCAUCUCAUGUGGGACACGCCUCUUGAAAACCAUGCAUCAUUUGUUUUUGUAAUGUGCGCUUCAGCUAUAUAUAUGUGUGAUUUGAUUCACGACUGUAAUAUCUUGUAGAAAUUUUUGUCGAGGAAAAACUAUAAAGACUGGUUAUAAAUGGUUUAGGCUUGAACAUAUUGAAUAUUAAUAUUAAAAAUAUCAUUCUCUGGUAACUUAAAGUUUUAAAAAAUAACGAUUAUCUCAUUUUAUUUAACAUAGUGUAGAUAGGAGGUCUGAUAUAAUUGAUUUCUUUAAGCUCUUUUUUUUGGAUAUAUCGAAAAAUUUCAAGCCCAGACAUAAGAGAAAAUAUUGAAUAUAAAUAUUAAAGACACCGCAUAUAUAUGAAAAGUUUAAGAACUAGAAAUUUUAGCUGUACACAAACCUUUGUUUAAUUUCAAUCAACUACCUGAUCUAGCACAAACUUCAUCAAUGUAUUAUUACCUAAGCACUGUCAACACAUGGCUAUUAACAUAUGCCAAAAUCCCUUCAAAGUUCUUCACCCAUAUGAGAGGUUACUGCUUGAAUUUAAAAUGCCAGAUGACUAGCACGUACCCUCUUGAAUUAACUUGAUUACUAAUUAUCACUCAAACUUUACACUUGGGCACAUGCACCAAUAACCAAAGAACCAAGAUCAUGGAAAAAGAAGGAAAAUACUUGAGAUACUCCUAGUGGUAAGAAUUUAAAACAAAGUAUAUAUAUGUGAAUCCAGCAAGUGUAAUAUUAAUAGUAUGGAGGCCCUCAGGCUACCAAAUUAUUUUCGAUGAUGGGACUUUGAAUCGACGAUCGACCACAUUAGAUAUAAUAUAUCUUAUUGAAAGUAUCUAGAAACUAAUUUUUAUAAAUUUUAACAUUAUUCACCAUAGAACGAAUAUUCUCAAUAUGAAUGAUUGAAAAUAAAAAUCUUAUAUAAAAUAAUGAUAAAAAAUUUAAAAGUCAGAUCAAAGGUACUGAUCUUGCUUAAAUAGUGAAAAAAAAAUUUAUUAGAUUUGGAUUAUUCUACAUCGUCAAACUUAUGAAUGUAUUACAUCGGCCAUUAAAAUUAUUAAUUUUGAGACCUUUUGGUCAUGAGUCAAAUGAUAUCGAAAAAAAUAUGAAAUUUGGCUUCUAAAUACUUUCACUUAUAUCAUGCCUAACACAAUCGAUCAUUGAUUCGGAUGUUCCAUCAGUAAAAAAUAAUUUGAUAAUACGGAGGCCUCCGUGCUAUUAAUAGUACAUAAGCCAGACUCUGUAUAUAUGUAAUCAUGUAAAUGAAUUUUGGAGCUAAGAAGAUGAUGAAUUGGAUUGUUACAAUGAAUGUGGUCAACCGACGUUGCCACAUCCUGUGACACUAACCAAAUCUUUUACCUAGAAGAACCCUUGAGUUGUAGUAAGAGAGUUUGGUAAGCAAAACCCUACAUGCAUGUGAAAAUGGAGUUAGGCAUUGCUAUUAAUGCACAUAUGGAGCAAAUUCUAGAGAGAGAGAGGUACAGAAACCAAGUAGGAACUUCUAAAACUGGGUGAGGAUAAGAACUUCCACAAAGAAGCAAAAUCAAACCCUUCUUGCAACCUCAAGGGGGACCCCCUCAACUUUCCAUUUUGCUCUCCCCAACCCUCUCCCACCCUUGCAUUUGCUUCUACUUUCUGGUAUGUCCUUUUGCACCAAGACAAAACUAAUGUCGCUUGUUCAACGAAUGGAGUCCGAUAAAAAUCAAGUGUCCUAAUCGAUCAAAACCAACUUAAACUCACGAACAUCAGAAUGAUGAGUCAUCAGCGUGACAUGGGUCGGGGCGGCUUGAACCGACUAUAUAUGUUGGAGGUGAAAGAGUAUAUAUAUCAUGGCUACAUGCAUGAAUCUAGCUCCAUGCACAAAUAGAGCUCAUAAAAGUUGCUUGUGCAUUUGCUUUUAGAAAGCAAGCAAGCUUUUACACAUGCAAUCUUAUAGCACAAACUUCGCUGUCACGAUACCGAAUGUUGUAAUCUUAUUUAUUGGUUAAUUUGUAGCGUCAAUGUGCUUUUCACAUAACACUACAACAGAAUUAGGUUAUAGGGACACAUAUUUGGGACAUUUUUGAGUAAGUGUCCCAUUUAUGCUAAAACUUAAAAACACAUCUACUAAUGCCUAAAUAUAAAGCCCAAUCUAAUUAAAAAUAAAAGAUUACUCUACUCAACCCACCACACCCAGUCCAUUUGACCCGAUUACAAACAGAAAAGAAAAAAAGAAAGAAAAAUCAAUUACCAUCUUUUCUUCUCUCUUCACUCAAUCCACUGAAAUUCUAGACGAAGAGCCUUUACUGUCAUCCUCUUCCGCCACCGCAGCCAACGAGAUAGAGUUUCGGCGGUUGCUAAAUGCUUAAAUAAGUGUUGGUAAAUUAGCAGCACUUUUUAGGUUAUAGCGACACUCUUUAACUGUCACUAUAUACCUAGCGACCCCACAUAUAGCAACACUUUUUAAAAGUGUCGGUAAUUUUAGCUAGCAGCACUUUUUUGACAUGUACCUACAUUUAAAAGUGUCGCUAUAGACCGUUUUUGUUGUAGUGUAAGUUCUAAGUUAGGAGAGUUAUAGUAAACCAACAAUAUAAGUUUCAAGGACUUGCUUGUAAAGCUUUAUUUACUGGCGUAAUCUCACUAUUGUGGGCUAACCUAGGCUAGUUAAGAAUUGUGCAUAUAGGGGAGCUCCCUAUAUAUAUAUAUAUAUAUAUAUAUAUAUAUAUAGAGCUAGGCUCCUAUGCUUUCGAAAGUACAGAAGCCUCCGUACUUAAAAGUUGUUUUCAAUAAUGGGACAUCCGAUUCAGUGAUCGGUUCCGUUAGACAUGAUCUACGCUAUUGGAACUACCUAGAAACCAAAUUUCAUAAUUUUUUUACUUUGUUUGUCUAGUAAACGAGUAGCCUCAAAAUGAACGGCUGAAAAUAAAAAUCUUAUAAAAAACAGUGAUAAAGGACUCAAAUUUCAAAUCGGAAGUAUUGGUCUUUCUAUUGAUAUUAAGUAGAAUUUUCUAUUAAAUUUUCAUCUAAUUUGGAUACUUCUACACCGUUGAACUUAAAAACGUGCCACAUCGGCCGUUAAAAUAGUCAUUUUUGAGAUUUUUCGAUCGCUUGGUAAAUGAUGUCAAAAAAUUAUAAAAUUUGGUUUCUAAAUAGUUCCAAUAGGGUAGAUUAUACUUAACGGAACCGAUCGUCGAAUCGGAUUUCCUAUCAUCGAAAACAACUUACAAGUACGGAGGUCUCCGUACUUUCGAAAGUACAGAAGACUUACUCUAUAUAUAUAUAUAUAUAUAUAUAUAUAUAUAUGGAUUGAUAAUGAAUAAAGCGAUGCUAUAAACUAGGCUGCUUGAGUUUUAUCUAUUAGCAACCUACACAGAAUUAGUUAUAGCGACACAGUUUGAGACAUUUUCAGUAAUGUCCCCAUUUAUGCUAAAACUUAAAAACACAUCUACUAAUGCCUAAAUAUAAAGCCCAAUCCAACCAAAAAUAAAAGAUUACUCUACUCAACCCACUACACCCAGUCCAUUUGGCCCGAUUACAAACAGAAAAGAAAAAAAAAAGAAAAAUCAAUUACCUUCUUUUCUUCUCUCUUCACUCAAUUCACUGAAAUUCUAGACGAAGAGUCUUUACUGUUGUCCUCCUACGCCACCGCAGCCAACAAGAUAGAGUUUCGGCGAUUGCUAAAUACUUAAAUAAGUAUUGAUAAAUUAGCAGCACUCUUUUAGGUUAUAGCGACACUCUUUAACUGUCACUAUAUACCUAGCGACCCCACAUAUAGCAACACUUUUUAAAAAUGUCGGUAAUUUUAGCUAGCAGCACUUUUUUAACAUGUACCUAUAUUUAAAAGUAUCGCUAUAGACCGUUUUUGUUGUAGUGUAGUAAAUAAAUUCUUUUUUGGCAAAAGAUGUAACAUUAAUAGUAUAAUUUAGGAAAGUAGAUUUAAGAAGUGAUUA
rnacentral:lncRNA from 1 species